GAAGAACCUUACCUGCUCUUGACAUGCCAGGAACAUUGGAGAGAUUCGAGGGUGCCGGAAAGGGAAUCAGGACACAGGUGGUGCAUGGCUGUUGUCAGCUCGUGUCGUGAGAUGUUGGGUUAAGUCCCGCAACGAGCGCAACCCUUAUCAUUAGUUGGUAUGCAAGGGCACUCUAAUGAGACUGCCGGUGACAAACCGGAGGAAGGUGGGGAUGACGUCAAGUCCUCAUGGCCCUUAUGAGCAGGGCUUCACACGUCAUACAAUGGUCGGUACAGAGGGUUGCCAACCCGCGAGGGGGAGCCAAUCCCACAAAGCCGAUCGUAGUCCGGAUCGCAGUGUGCAACUCGCCUC
rnacentral:rRNA from 1 species